AGUGAACGCUGGCGGUAGGCCUAACACAUGCAAGUCGAACGGCAGCACAGUAAGAGCUUGCUCUUACGGGUGGCGAGUGGCGGACAGGUGAGGAAUACAUCGGAAUCUACUUUUUCGUGGGGGAUAACGUAGGGAAACUUACGCUAAUACCGCAUACGACCUACGGGUGAAAGCAGGGGAUCUUCGGACCUUGCGCGAUUGAAUGAGCCGAUGUCGGAUUAGCUAGUUGGUGGGGUAAAGGCCCACCAAGGCGACGAUCCGUAGCUGGUCUGAGAGGAUGGUCCGCCACACUGGAACUGAGACACGGUCCAGACUCCUACGGGAGGCAGCAGUGGGGAAUAUUGGGCAAUGGGCGCAAGCCUGAUCCAGCCAUACCGCGUGGGUGAAGAAGGCCUUCGGGUUGUAAAGCCCUUUUGUUGGGAAAGAAAAGCAGCAGGUUAAUACCCCGCUGUUCUGACGGUACCCAAAGAAUAAGCACCGGCUAACUUCGUG
rnacentral:rRNA from 1 species